rnacentral:lncRNA from 1 species
UGAAUUUUGCUGUGAUCGCAUAGCUCUGCUUCCCCCUACUUCACGAUCGCAUUCCAUUUUCCCGUUUUCGCAUUGAGCAAGUUGAGCUGGUGGCUCAGAGAUCCACUUCUUCUAUGCGAUCGCAGGACCCCAUAUGCGAUCGCAUAGGUCUACUCCUUCCUCUUUCGCGAUCGCAGACCAUUCCCUACAUUCGCAUAGACUAAUUUCUG